rnacentral:rRNA from 1 species
UACGUAGGGACCAAGCGUUGUUCGGAUUUACUGGGCGUAAAGGGCGCGUAGGCGGCUUGACAAGUCACUUGUGAAAUCUCCGGGCUUAACUCGGAACGGCCAAGUGAAACUGUCAUGCUAGAGUACAGAAGGGGCAAUCGGAAUUCUUGGUGUAGCGGUGAAAUGCGUAGAUAUCAAGAGGAACACCUGAGGUGAAGACGGGUUGCUGGGCUGACACUGACGCUGAGGCGCGAAAGCCAGGGGAGCAAACGGG